rnacentral:rRNA from 1 species
UAGGGAAUAUUGCACAAUGGGGGAAACCCUGAUGCAGCGACGCCGCGUGAAGGAAGAAGUAUCUCGGUAUGUAAACUUCUAUCAGCAGGGAAGACAAUGACGGUACCUGACUAAGAAGCCCCGGCUAACUACGUGCCAGCAGCCGCGGUAAUACGUAGGGGGCAAGCGUUAUCCGGAUUUACUGGGUGUAAAGGGAGCGUAGACGGAUCUGCAAGUCUGGAGUGAAAGCCCGGGGCUCAACCCCGGGACUGCUUUGGAAACUGUAGGUCUAGAGUGCCGGAGAGGUAAGCGGAAUUCCUAGUGUAGCGGUGAAAUGCGUAGAUAUUAGGAGGAACACCAGUGGCGAAGGCGGCUUACUGGACGGUAACUGACGUUGAGGCUCGAAAGCGUGGGGAGCAAACAGG